AGACCCGAAACCCGGUGAUCUAGCCAUGGGCAGGUUGAAGGUUGGGUAACACUAACUGGAGGACCGAACCGACUAAUGUUGAAAAAUUAGCGGAUGACCUGUGGCUGGGGGUGAAAGGCCAAUCAAACCGGGAGAUAGCUGGUUCUCCCCGAAAGCUAUUUAGGUAGCGCCUCGUGAAUUCAUCUCCGGGGGUAGAGCACUGUUUCGGCUAGGGGGCCAUCCCGGCUUACCAACCCGAUGCAAACUGCGAAUACCGGAGAAUGUUAUCACGGGAGACACACGGCGGGUGCUAACGUCCGUCGUGAAGAGGGAAACAACCCAGACCGCCAGCUAAGGUCCCAAAGUCAUGGUUAAGUGGGAAACGAUGUGGGAAGGCCCAGACAGCCAGGAUGUUGGCUUAGAAGCAGCCAUCAUUUAAAGAAAGCGUAAUAGCUCACUGGUCGAGUCGGCCUGCGCGGAAGAUGUAACGGGGCUAAACCAUGCACCGAAGCUGCGGCAGCGACGCUGAUGCGUUGUUGGGUAGGGGAGCGUUCUGUAAGCCUGCGAAGGUGGCCUGUGAGGGUUGCUGGAGGUAUCAGAAGUGCGAAUGCUGACAUAAGUAACGAUAAAGCGGGUGAAAAGCCCGCUCG
rnacentral:rRNA from 1 species